GGGUUGUGAGGUUAAGCGACUAAGCGUACACGGUGGAUGCCCUGGCAGUCAGAGGCGAUGAAGGGCGUGCUAAUCUGCGAUAAGCGCCGGUAAGGUGAUAUGAACCGUUAUAACCGGCGAUACCCGAAUGGGGAAACCCAGUGUGAUUCGUCACACUAUCAUUAACUGAAUCCAUAGGUUAAUGAGGCGAACCGGGGGAACUGAAACAUCUAAGUACCCCGAGGAAAAGAAAUCAACCGAGAUUCCCCCAGUAGCGGCGAGCGAACGGGGAGGAGCCCAGAGCCUGAAUCAGCAUGUGUGUUAGUGGAAGCGUCUGGAAAGGCGCGCGAUACAGGGUGACAGCCCCGUACACAAAAGCGCAUGUGCUGUGAGCUCGAUGAGUAGGGCGGGACACGUGGUAUCCUGUCUGAAUAUGGGGGGACCAUCCUCCAAGGCUAAAUACUCCUGACUGACCGAUAGUGAACCAGUACCGUGAGGGAAAGGCGAAAAGAACCCCGGCGAGGGGAGUGAAAAAGAACCUGAAACCGUGUACGUACAAGCAGUGGGAGCACAGGUUUACCUGUGUGACUGCGUACCUUUUGUAUAAUGGGUCAGCGACUUAUAUUCUGUAGCAAGGUUAACCGUAUAGGGGAGCCGGAGGGAAACCGAGUCUUAACCGGGCGUUAAGUUGCAGGGUAUAGACCCGAAACCCGGUGAUCUAGCCAUGGGCAGGUUGAAGGUUGGGUAACACUAACUGGAGGACCGAACCGACUAAUGUUGAAAAAUUAGCGGAUGACCUGUGGCUGGGGGUGAAAGGCCAAUCAAACCGGGAGAUAGCUGGUUCUCCCCGAAAGCUAUUUAGGUAGCGCCUCGUGAAUUCAUCUCCGGGGGUAGAGCACUGUUUCGGCUAGGGGGCCAUCCCGGCUUACCAACCCGAUGCAAACUGCGAAUACCGGAGAAUGUUAUCACGGGAGACACACGGCGGGUGCUAACGUCCGUCGUGAAGAGGGAAACAACCCAGACCGCCAGCUAAGGUCCCAAAGUCAUGGUUAAGUGGGAAACGAUGUGGGAAGGCCCAGACAGCCAGGAUGUUGGCUUAGAAGCAGCCAUCAUUUAAAGAAAGCGUAAUAGCUCACUGGUCGAGUCGGCCUGCGCGGAAGAUGUAACGGGGCUAAACCAUGCACCGAAGCUGCGGCAGCGACGUUUAUGCGUUGUUGGGUAGGGGAGCGUUCUGUAAGCCUGUGAAGGUGUGUCGUGAGGGUUGCUGGAGGUAUCAGAAGUGCGAAUGCUGACAUAAGUAACGAUAAAGCGGGUGAAAAGCCCGCUCGCCGGAAGACCAAGGGUUCCUGUCCAACGUUAAUCGGGGCAGGGUGAGUCGACCCCUAAGGCGAGGCCGAAAGGCGUAGUCGAUGGGAAACGGGUUAAUAUUCCCGUACUUGGUGUUACUGCGAAGGGGGGACGGAGAAGGCUAUGUUGGCCGGGCGACGGUUGUCCCGGUUUAAGCGUGUAGGCUGGUUUUCCAGGCAAAUCCGGAAAAUCAAGGCUGAGGCGUGACGACGAGGCACUACGGUGCUGAAGCAACAAAUGCCCUGCUUCCAGGAAAAGCCUCUAAGCAUCAGGUAACAUCAAAUCGUACCCCAAACCGACACAGGUGGUCAGGUAGAGAAUACCAAGGCGCUUGAGAGAACUCGGGUGAAGGAACUAGGCAAAAUGGUGCCGUAACUUCGGGAGAAGGCACGCUGACACGUAGGUGAAGUGAUUUACUCAUGGAGCUGAAGUCAGUCGAAGAUACCAGCUGGCUGCAACUGUUUAUUAAAAACACAGCACUGUGCAAACACGAAAGUGGACGUAUACGGUGUGACGCCUGCCCGGUGCCGGAAGGUUAAUUGAUGGGGUCAGCGCAAGCGAAGCUCCUGAUCGAAGCCCCGGUAAACGGCGGCCGUAACUAUAACGGUCCUAAGGUAGCGAAAUUCCUUGUCGGGUAAGUUCCGACCUGCACGAAUGGCGUAAUGAUGGCCAGGCUGUCUCCACCCGAGACUCAGUGAAAUUGAACUCGCUGUGAAGAUGCAGUGUACCCGCGGCAAGACGGAAAGACCCCGUGAACCUUUACUAUAGCUUGACACUGAACAUUGAGCCUUGAUGUGUAGGAUAGGUGGGAGGCUUUGAAGCGUGGACGCCAGUCUGCGUGGAGCCGACCUUGAAAUACCACCCUUUAAUGUUUGAUGUUCUAACGUGGACCCGUAAUCCGGGUUGCGGACAGUGUCUGGUGGGUAGUUUGACUGGGGCGGUCUCCUCCUAAAGAGUAACGGAGGAGCACGAAGGUUGGCUAAUCCUGGUCGGACAUCAGGAGGUUAGUGCAAUGGCAUAAGCCAGCUUGACUGCGAGCGUGACGGCGCGAGCAGGUGCGAAAGCAGGUCAUAGUGAUCCGGUGGUUCUGAAUGGAAGGGCCAUCGCUCAACGGAUAAAAGGUACUCCGGGGAUAACAGGCUGAUACCGCCCAAGAGUUCAUAUCGACGGCGGUGUUUGGCACCUCGAUGUCGGCUCAUCACAUCCUGGGGCUGAAGUAGGUCCCAAGGGUAUGGCUGUUCGCCAUUUAAAGUGGUACGCGAGCUGGGUUUAGAACGUCGUGAGACAGUUCGGUCCCUAUCUGCCGUGGGCGCUGGAGAACUGAGGGGGGCUGCUCCUAGUACGAGAGGACCGGAGUGGACGCAUCACUGGUGUUCGGGUUGUCAUGCCAAUGGCACUGCCCGGUAGCUAAAUGCGGAAGAGAUAAGUGCUGAAAGCAUCUAAGCACGAAACUUGCCCCGAGAUGAGUUCUCCCUGAGACUUAGAGUCUCCUGAAGGAACGUUGAAGACGACGACGUUGAUAGGCCGGGUGUGUAAGCGCAGCGAUGCGUUGAGCUAACCGGUACUAAUGAACCGUGAGGCUUAACCUUACAACGCCGAAG
rnacentral:rRNA from 1 species